rnacentral:lncRNA from 1 species
CAGAAAAAUUCCAAAUAGUUUAGGUAAAUACUCUGUCCUCAAGGAGGGGGAGCAUAGCUCCCCAUUUCUUAAGUGUGGGUUGUACAUGGAAACUUCCUUUCAAAGAGUACAGGUUGGAAAGAGAAGGAAAAGAGUAACUUGGUAGUGGAGAAACGUGACAAAUACUGACUCAGCCAGGUGACCAAGGUCAGCAUCAGCGGUGGGCAGUCAUGUUGAGGGAUGGACCAUUGACAGGAUGUCACGAGACCGGCCCUUUACCUCUGUGGUUUUCUUCCCGAAACCCAUAACCCCAGCCUACGUACAAGAAAAACAUCAGACAAAGCAUCAAUGAGGAUCAUUUUACAGAAUCCCGGACAAGUACUUCUCAAAGUUGUCAUUGUUAUCGAAAAAAAACAGCAAAAGUUUGAGAAACACUGAAGGCCUAAACGAGUGUAAAGAGACAUACUGAUUACACGUCGUAAGAGGUAUCCUAGAUGGGAUCCUGGAACAGAAAAGGGACACGAGCUCUGAGCUGUUCCUGCUGUGUGCCUGCUCCCGGGCCACCUGCUAGCCCCAGGGUCAUCACCUCUGGACUCCAAGGGACCCCAGGAGCGUCGGGAUUCGGAGAAGCGAGCUCUACCUGGACACACAUCCACCCCAGUCCUGCCCAUAAGUGUCUCUGCCCAGCUCGUGAGCUUCCUGAGGGCGGAGACCUCGUCCUCUCUGGGUGCCAGGGCUCCAUAACGUGCCUGGCCCCAGGGUGCCCGUUAAACUGACAUGAAAUGAAUGUCCCUGAGCUCGUACCCAUAGGACAGGACUCUAAAUAUCAUCGGAUCACAUCAUGAGAAAGCGAUGGCCUUUUCUACUCCGUGCCAGUCUUUCUCAUGACAUCAAGGAGAACAUCUUGGGCUGGCGCCAGGACGUCUUGACGCCUCCCCGCCCUCGCCCAUCCGCACCCAGAGCCAAGAACAGGCGGUCUAGGGCCCAGACCUAGCAGACCAGUGUACCAGCAAGAGUAAGAGCAUUGCUUCAUUUUAGAAUCACCUUCAAUUCUGAGCAAGCGGUGCUGGUUUCCCGCUUAUAACAGCAACGUAAAGUUUCUUUUAAAUGUGUUUUAAAUUUUAAAACAAUUUCAGACUUAGAGAAAAGUUGCAAAAGUCAUACAAAGAAUUCCUGGAUAUCCUUUAUCCAGAUUCCCUAGUAUUAACAUUUUUCUACUUUCUCUCUCUCUCUCUUUUUCUCCCCACUACCUACCCACACGCACACAUGCACAGAGAUUAUUUUUUUCUGAACCAUCUAAAAACAGGUUUUCUUGGGGCCAGCCCGGUGAUGGAGUGGUCAGGUUGCCCACUCUACUUUGGUGGCCUGGGGUUUGCAGGUUCGGCUCCCUCGUGUGGACCUGCGCACAGCUCAUCAAGCCACGCCGUGGUGGCCUCUCACAUACAAAAUAAAGGAAGAUGGGCACGGAUGUUAGCUCAGGGCCAAUCUUCCUCACCCAAAAAAAAAAAAAUCAAUACUUUAGUGUAUAUUUCCUAAAAGCAGGAACAUUUUCUUACAUAACUACAGUACGCUUGUCAAAAUCAGGGAGUUGACACAGACACAGUACUGUUACCUAAUCUGGAGACCUCAUCCUGAUUUCACCCUCCGUCCCAGUAAAACCCCAGCUCACACUUUGCAUUCGGUUGCCGCGUCUCUUUAGCUCCUUUAACUGGCAACAGUUCUCGAGUCUUGGUAUUUUGCCAUCUUAGCAUUUUUGAAAAGUACGUGCCAGAUAUUUUGUAAAAUGGCUGAAGAGUCCUUUAAAAAUAAAGUUUUGAAAAAACGUGAAUCCAUUUAAAGAAAAACUCUUAAGUAAGCAAGAGAACAAAAUGUCCACAGAAAAAGCAAAACCACGAAGACUUACGUGGAAAAGUGAGGUUUGAGAGGUGUUGGCUGAAAUCAACUGCAUUCUGUCCCCGGGU